rnacentral:rRNA from 1 species
GAUGAACGCUGGCGGCGUGCCUAAUACAUGCAAGUCGAGCGAACAGAUGAGGAGCUUGCUCCUCUGACGUUAGCGGCGGACGGGUGAGUAACACGUGGAUAACCUACCUAUAAGACUGGGAUCACUUCGGGAAACCGGAGCUAAUACCGGAUAAUAUAUUGAACCGCAUGGUUCAAUAGUGAAAGACGGUUUUGCUGUCACUUCUAGAUGGAUCCGCGCCGCAUUAGCUAGUUGGUACGGUAACGGCUUACCAAGGCAACGAUGCGUAGCCGACCUGAGAGGGUGAUCGGCCACACUGGAACUGAGACACGGUCCAGACGCCUACGGGAGGCAGCAGUAGGGAAUCUGCCGCAAUGGGCGAAAGCCUGACGGAGCAACGCCGCGUGAGUGAUGAAGGUCUUCGGAUCGUAAAACUCUGUUAUUAGGGAAGAACAAAUGUGUAAGUAACUAUGCACGUCUUGACGGUACCUAAUCAGAAAGCCACGGCUAACUACGUG